UACGAAGGGAGCUAGCGUUGUUCGGAAUCACUGGGCGUAAAGCGCACGUAGGCGGACAGGGAAGUUGGGGGUGAAAUCCCGGGGCUCAACCCCGGAACUGCCUCCAAAACUCCCUGUCUGGAGGUCGAGAGAGGCGAGUGGAAUUCCGAGUGUAGAGGUGAAAUUCGUAGAUAUUCGGAGGAACACCAGUGGCGAAGGCGGCUCGCUGGCUCGAUACUGACGCUGAGGUGCGAAAGCGUGGGGAGCAAACAGG
rnacentral:rRNA from 1 species